GAAGCGGAGGGUCUAGCGUUGUUCGGAAUGACUGGGCGUAAAGGGCGCGUAGGGCUGGCUCGUGGAAGUCGGGUGUGAAAGCCCGGGGCUCAACCCGGAACGGCAUCCGAUACUGGCGGGCUGAGACCGGGAGAGGAGGGUGGAAUACCCAGUGUAGAGGUGAAAUUCGUAGAUAUUGGGUGAACACCGGUGGCGAAAGCGGCUCUCUGGCCCGGAUCGUGACGCUGAGGCGCGGAAAAGCGUGGGGGAGCCAAACAGGGAGUUAA
rnacentral:rRNA from 1 species